UAAAUCUUCAAAUCCACCUUAGGCUAUAUUUACACUACUACGUUUUGGUUUGAAAACUAAUAUCUUUUGCUACAUUUACGCCUCGCGUCCACACUAC